GUAAAUUAAUGCAGUACGUCUGCCCACUCGGCGACCCUAUUUAAACCCUCGUUCUAGACCUUUAGGACAAGAAUUCUUCGCUAGCCUCAAAGUAUCAGGUCACAGCCCUAUAGCAAUAAAAAAGUGAAAAUGUUUUCUGACAUCCUGUGUCUGAUGUUCCUUAUCGUCAUCACAAUCAGCAUCAUCGCUGCUCAGCCCGCAGCACCAGGAGGCGCCGCCCCUCCCGCAGAAGACCCAUUCGCCUGGCUACGUCACUGGUACCUGUUCAGAUGGAUGGACUAACUGACGGCCGCCAACGUUACACACCCACACGAAUUUGACGACAGCUGAACAAGGUGAUGCGGACCUCGAGAUUAUUAUACCACGGUGGAAGCGUCGAUUCAUCUUUAGUUUAAUUUAUUCACUUUUCACUGGCCUAGCUAAUUUUUUGGUAUGUCUUAUCCAACAUGACUUUAAAACAUUCCCAAAAACUUAGGUCGACUAAAAACUUCGUAAUACCGAAGUUGUUAUAAUCAAAGUUUAUCUUUUGACCUGCAGUUAUUAAAGGUUUAGACCUAGGUUAACAGAAUUUUUAAUUUUGAUAAACAAUAACUGGUAACACACCAAACGCUUUACAUCAUCGAUUGUUGCAUUGAGAUCUACCAUAUUUAUCAUUGUAUAAAUAGUUAUUAUUUAUUUAUAUCAAACUGUGAAUAUAAUAAACAACCAAUGACUCGACAGCUUUCUGUGAACUGGAUAUUGUAGAAUAGAUAUUUGUACAUAGUUUGACUGGAUGAGUAGCUGAUAUUGUGUGCGUUUUUCUUCAAACCUUUUCUGAUAUUAAAAAGACAUUAAAAUAUAAUAAACUAUUACAGAACUGAA